CUCAAGUUCUCUUCUAAUGUCACACAUUUGUUGUAUUUCAUUUGUGACCCAUGGUUUUGUCUUCUUAUGAUGUUUCCCAAGGAUGUCCAUUGCUGCCUCAUUCAUUACAGUGUUGAAAUUAGAAGGAGAGUACUUGUGGCACCUUAGAGACUA